UAUUGGCUAUUUUAUUUUAUUAUAUCUUUGCAAAUUGAUUGUUCCCACUUAGUUUUCAAUAAUUUUAUCUCACCCUUGAGAGAUUAUUUAUUAAAAUUUUAAAUGAGAAGUGUUUCAUUCUUGUUUCAAUCGAAGUAUUUGCAAGAUUCGAAAUCAUCUUUAUGGCAUUUGGAACCAGUUGCAUUUUUACCUAUUUGUACUUACAAAAAAAGAACAUAAUAGAGAGGGGGGUGAUUAACUUCUCCUUCAGGGACGUGCCUGGCCCGAUAGAUGUAAUAUGACACCGGCCCACUGUGUGUAUGCACAGUAGAACAGUGGACCCAUCCGCCCGCGUUACAAGGUACAAUGAUUUAGCAUUUAAUAAUAAUUUGAAAAACAUUGUUUUUCUGUUGUGUGCUACUUUAAACGUGCACAAAUUUGACAGCUAGAUGUAGACACUAUGUAAAAUAUAUUUCGUUUUGGAAAUCGAUAAUCAUACUGAUAACCUGACAAAAGGUUAUUGAUUAUAGAAUGGUAAAUAUGUACCUAUUAAUUGGUUUUUCAGAGUUCUGAAUUGUUAAGGUUUACAUUAAUAACUGUAUAAUUAUGUAAAUACAGUGAGAGUGCAAGUGAAUAGAACCAAGUUCUAUUUAUUAACAAGUAGAUACUGCCUCCACAAUUAUACUGUACUAUAUAGAUUUAAGGGGAUAAAAUAAGAAUGUGGGAAAGUUGAUUUCAAAUAGACUUGAAUUCUUAUCCCUCGACUAAACCAAUAGAACACAUUUAAAUUCCAAUGUUACCCAUUCCCCUUAAUACUGUUAUUUGAACGAACUAUAUUUUAUAUCAUUGAGUAAGUAUUCUAUAAGUUUUGCAUCAAUUUGUCCAUCCCCGCCAAUACAAUAGGUAUAGGUGUUAUACGUUUUAAAUGUGAAACCUAAGAUCUUCUAUAUUUCUAAAUUAUUUAAAUACAUAAUAAUAUGUUGAAUUAAUUGAAUUGAAUCUCUUUUAUGUAUAAAAAUAUUAUGCACUGUUUAUAGGUCAGUAAUGAAUGAUGUAUAAUGUAAUCUAAUUACUAAAAUAUUUUAAACAAUACUUGUAAAAAAAUAAAAUUUAUA